rnacentral:rRNA from 1 species
AGUAGUUUGACUCCUGGCUCGAGGACGAACGCUGGCGGCGUGCUUAACACAUGCAAGUCGAACGAGACGAUUGAAAGCUUGCUUUUGAAAGUCGAGUGGCAAACGGGUGAGUAACGCGUAGACAACCUGCCGCAAAGAUGGGGACAACAGUCCGAAAGGACUGCUAAUACCGAAUGUUGUAUCGUUUCCGCAUGGAGAUGAUAUUAAAGAUGGCCUCUACUUGUAAGCUAUCGCUUUGCGAUGGGUCUGCGUCUGAUUAGCUGGUUGGUGGGGCAACGGCCUACCAAGGCGACGAUCAGUAGCCGGUCUGAGAGGAUGAACGGCCACAUUGGGACUGAGACACGGCCCAAACUCC